rnacentral:rRNA from 1 species
ACGAAAGUCUGACGGAGCAACGCCGCGUGAGUGAAGAAGGUUUUCGGAUCGUAAAGCUCUGUCUUUGAGGACGAAUGUGUCUAAUGUGAAUAAUGUUAGAUAAUGACGGUACUCGAGGAGGAAGCCACGGCUAACUACGUGCCAGCAGCCGCGGUAAUACGUAGGUGGCAAGCGUUGUCCGGAAUUAUUGGGCGUAAAGCGCGCGCAGGCGGGAUAUUAAGUCUGUUUUAAAAGUUCGGGGCUCAACCCCGUGAUGGAAUGGAAACUAAUAUUCUUGAGUGCAGGAGAGGAAAGUGGAAUUCCCAGUGUAGCGGUGAAAUGCGUAGAUAUUGGGAGGAACACCAGUGGCGAAGGCGACUUUCUGGACUGUGUCUGACGCUGAGGCGCGAAAGCCAGGGGAGUGAACGGGAUUAGAUACCCCGGUAAUCCUGGCCGUAAACGAUGGGUACUAGGUGUAGGAGGUAUCGACCCCUUCUGUGCCGGAGUUAACGCAAUAAGUACCCCGCCUGGGGAGUAC